GUCAUGCAGGAGAACUAUGAGAAUGUGACCUCACUGGAGAAGUCGACACAGAGUAGCAAUGCUGUGUAUGGCUUGACGCAGGUUUGAAAAUUCAUCUUCCAUACCUAGAAGAAAUGAUUUGGACAGAGAAUGUUUAGACAGACACAAUCAGGUUUAUAUUUUUUAUUUUGGCUUUUGGAGCUCCUCUGUGCUAUCCCAGAUGCUUCUCUUUGCUUCUAAGCUUUAAGCUGAACCCCCAAGAAAGCUAUUUUGGGUGCGUGCAAAAGUUGUUUCUAGCCGAAGCCUGAGUUCCAGAUGUAUUGUUUUCCUUUUCAAUUUUAAUAAAAUUUACCUCUUUUAAGAACA